GCUCUUUCACGUUUUUACGUUACCUGAAGGCCACCGUAGUUCUCUGACACACUUAUGAAACUGCGAUAACGUGAGUCGUAGAGUGCUAAACCGUGAUACCGCCAGCCAUCGUCAGACUUCUGUUGAUCCUAAAAGUCCAGAAACACCAAGCACCGCCCAUCGGCCCGGAGCACA